AAGGUCCCAAAGUGCGUGUUAAGUGGAAAAGGAUGUGGGGAUUCUAAGACAACUAGGACGUUGGCUUAGAAGCAGCCAUUCAUUGAAAGAGUGCGUAAUAGCUCACUAGUCGAGAGUCCCUGCGCCGAAAAUGUCCGGGGCUGAAACACGACACCGAAGCUUAGGAAUGUGUAAACAUUGGUAGAGGAGCAUUGCUGGCGGGAUGAAGCCAUACCGUAAGGAGUGGUGGACUGCUAAGAAGAGAGAAUGCCGGAAUGAGUAGCGAGAGCAAGGUGAGAAUCCUUACGGCCGAAUAUCUAAGGUUUCCAGAGUAAAGCUGAUCUGCUCUGGGUAAGUCGGGGCCUAAGGCGAGGACGAAAGUCGUAGUCGAUGGAUAACAGGUUGAAAUUCCUGUACUGCUUAUGAACAGAACUGUGGGGACGCAGAAGGAGAGCACGAGCCGGAAAUGGAAAAGCCGGUACAAGCGUAUAGCAGUCAUGCAGGCAAAACCGCAUGAAAAAUGUAAAGCGUUAUGUGGAUCGAACAUUAGUAGAGAAGCGUGUGAGCCAGCUGCCAAGAAAAGCCGCUAUUGCUUCAUAAGUACCCGUACCGUAAACCGACACAGGUGGAUGAGGAGAGAAUCCUAAGGCCGACGGGAGAAGCAUUGUUAAGGAACUCGGCAAAAUGACCCCGUAACUUCGGGAGAAGGGGUGCCUGCGAGAGCAGGCCGCAGAGAAUAGGCUCAAGCAACUGUUUAGCAAAAACACAGGUCUAUGCGAAACCGAAAGGUGAGGUAUAUGGGCUGACGCCUGCCCGGUGCUGGAAGGUUAAGGGGAGAGGUUAGCGCAAGCGAAGCUUUGAACUUAAGCCCCAGUAAACGGCGGCCGUAACUAUAACGGUCCUAAGGUAGCGAAAUUCCUUGUCGGGUAAGUUCCGACCCGCACGAAAGGCGUAAUGAUUUGAGCACUGUCUCGACAAUGCAUCCGGUGAAAUUGAAGUACCAGUGAAGAUGCUGGUUACCUGCGCCAGGACGGAAAGACCCCAUGGAGCUUUACUCCAGUUUGAUACUGGGAUUCGGUACUGCAUGUACAGGAUAGGUGGGAGACGAAGAAGGAUGGACGCCAGUCUGUCCGGAGUCGCUGUUGGGAUACCACCCCUGUAGUACUGGGUUUCUAACCAGUUACCAUGAUCUGGUAAUGGGACAAUGUCAGGCGGGGAGUUUGACUGGGGCGGUCGCCUCCGAAAGGGUAUCGGAGGCGCUCAAAGGUUCCCUCAGAAUGGUUGGAAACCAUUCGAAGAGUGCAAAGGCAGAAGGGAGCUUGACUGCGACACCGACGGGUGGAGCAGGUACGAAAGUAGGACUUAGUGAUCCGGUGGUAUAAAGUGGGAUUGCCAUCGCUCAACGGAUAAAAGCUACCCUGGGGAUAACAGGCUUAUCACUCCCAAGAGUUCACAUCGACGGAGUGGUUUGGCACCUCGAUGUCGGCUCAUCGCAUCCUGGGGCUGUAGUAGGUCCCAAGGGUUGGGCUGUUCGCCCAUUAAAGCGGUACGCGAGCUGGGUUCAGAACGUCGUGAGACAGUUCGGUCCCUAUCUGUCGUGGGCGCAGGAUAUUUGAAAGGCGCUGUCCCUAGUACGAGAGGACCGGGAUGGACGAACCUCUGGUGCACCAGUUGUCACGCCAGUGGCACAGCUGGGCAGCUAUGUUCGGAUCGGAUAAACGCUGAAAGCAUCUAAGCGUGAAGCCGGCCUUAAGAUAAGAUAUCCCACUGAGACAAUCAGGUAAGACCCCUUGAAGACUACAAGGUUGAUAGGCACAAUGUGUAAGUGGCGUGAGUCAUUGAGCAAGCGUGUACUAAUAGGUCGAGGGCUUGACCC
rnacentral:rRNA from 1 species